rnacentral:tRNA from 1 species
GGGGGAUUAGCUCAGUUGGGAGAGCGCUUGCAUGGCAUGCAAGAGGUCACGAGUUCGAGUCUCGUAUCCUCCA